GCAGUCGUGGCCGAAUGGUUACGGCGAUGGACUAGAAAUCCAUUGGGGUCUCCCCGCACAGGUUCGAACAUUGUUUUCUUUU
rnacentral:tRNA from 1 species